AUUGAGUAAAGAUCGAGGUAGCAUUUGCCUAUUAUAAGUAAUAAUUAUCAUUUGUUAAUAUUGUUAAAAUUACAAAAACAAUUAAAAUUUUAUAUUUUUACCAUGCUCCAAUUUUAACAUUCUCAUCAGUGUGUAAAUAAAAAUUCCUUACACCUUCCAAUCCAAUUGACUCUGGUUUUUCAAAGUCUAGACUAGGUGGCCAGUGUACUAAAAAAUAAUAAAUAUUAAACUAUCAGUUUAUAAAUAAUGUAAUAUGUAAUAUAAAAACUUACCGAAAUUUAAAAAAAGUAUUUUACGUUGGAAACUGUAUGAGUAAUGAAAUAUAAACGGACAAAUACCAAAUAUAAUUAUAUGACGCAAUAAGGAUGAAAAAAAAGAAUAUAUUUAAAAUGCUUUUAAAAUAAUCAUGACAAACGAUGAAUAACAUGAUUUUGCAAUUUAAAAUCAAGUAUAAGUCAACUUACAUUCCCAUAUACCAAAUAUCAAGGAUGACGAAUGGCACGAAACCAGCUAAGAGUGUUGUAUAGAUUAAUCCGUAAAUAUUUGAAGAACCAAGUACUAACCGCGGAUUAAACCAUCAACAAGAGCUAUUGUCAACGUGCAACCUAUGAAAAAAAUCAAUCAAGUAAAGCAAGCAGUUCCAUGUGGCAUUAAAAAAGUGUGAAUAAAACUAGUAUAUGUAUAAGCAUUAAUGAUUUACAGUGAAUCACUACAUUAAACGUCAUAAUGACAACAUAAACAAUGUACUUCUUAUAAGUAGUUAUUGUUUGCAUUUAAAUACAAAUUAAGAAUAUAUACAUUUAUGUUUCAAAGUGUAGUACAAAGAGUUUAAAACUCUUUUUGUUAUUAAUAUUAAAAUUAAAAAAUAUUUAUUUUC